AGUGAACGCUGGCGGCAGGCCUAACACAUGCAAGUCGAGCGGCAGCGCGGGGGCAACCCUGGCGGCGAGCGGCGGAUGGGUGAGGAAUUCGUCGGAAUCUGCCUUUUUGUGGGGGAUAACGUAGGGAAACUUACGCUAAUACCGCAUACGUCCUACGGGAGAAAGUGGGGGACCGCAAGGCCUCACGCAGAAAGAUGAGCCGACGACCGAUUAGCUAGUUGGUGGGGUAAAGGCCCACCAAGGCGACGAUCGGUAGCUGGUCUGAGAGGAUGAUCAGCCACACUGGGACUGAGACACGGCCCAGACUCCUACGGGAGGCAGCAGUGGGGAAUAUUGGACAAUGGGCGCAAGCCUGAUCCAGCCAUGCCGCGUGUGUGAAGAAGGCCUUCGGGUUGUAAAGCACUUUUGUCCGGAAAGAAAUCCCUGGAGCUAAUACCUUCGGGGGAUGACGGUACCGGAAGAAUAAGCACCGGCUAACUUCGUG
rnacentral:rRNA from 1 species